GGCCAGCAUCGGUUUCAGCUGCAGGAGAAGGGGUGCNGGAAUGUGGCUCUUCGGAGUGUUAUAGCAGGNGAUGCUGCGUGUGGGGAAUNAGGAGGACAUGCGGCUUCUGUCUCGGAUGCUGGCAUAAU
rnacentral:rRNA from 1 species